UAAGCGGAGGAAAAGAAACUAACAAUGAUUCCCUUAGUAACGGCGAGUGAAGGGGGAAAAGCUCAAAUUUUAAAUCGGCAUAGGUUUACCUAGUCGAGUUGUAAUUUGAAGAAGCGUUUACCUCAUCCAGGUCGGCCCAAAUCCUUUGGGAUAAGGUAUCAUGGAGGGUGAGAAUCCCGUCCGGUUGACCUCAGGAUGUUUUACGUUACGCUCUCUAAGAGUCGAGUUGUUUGGGAUUGCAGCUCAAAAUGGGAGGUAAAUUUCUCCUAAGGCUAAAUACAGGCGAGAGACCGAUAGCGAACAAGUACCGUGAGGGAAAGAUGAAAAGAACUUUGAAAAGAGAGUUAAACAGUACGUGAAAUUGUUGAAAGGGAAACGAUUGAAGUCAGUCAUGCCAGUGAGAAAUCAGCUUACAGGCUACUGUGAGUGCACUUUUCGCAUGGCAGGUCAAUAUUAGUUUUGUUGGGACAUAAUUAUUGUAGAAAGGUGACUCCUUCGGGAGUUGUUAUAGACUACUUUAGAUGGCCUGACAUAGACUAAGGAUUGCAGGCGAAUGCCUUUAGGCUACAGUUCUUUCUCUGUAAGUCGUUAAUUGGUUGUCAGCUUGCUGACUUCUAGUUAAUUGGCAGACAGUAAGGUAGAAUUGAUAAAUUCGCUAAGGAUGUUGACGUAAUGGCUUAAACGACCGUCUUGAACACGGACCAAGGAGUCUAACAUAUGUGCGAGUGUUU
rnacentral:rRNA from 1 species